rnacentral:rRNA from 1 species
AGAGUUUGAUCAUGGCUCAGAUUGAACGCUGGUGGUAUGCUUAACACAUGCAAGUCGAACGGUAACAUUGGAGCUUGCUCCAGAUGACGAGUGGCGGACGGGUGAGUAACGCGUAGGAAUCUGCCUAGUAGUGGGGGACAACAUGUGGAAACGCAUGCUAAUACCGCAUACGCCCUACGGGGGAAAGCGGGGGAUCUUCGGACCUCGCGCUAUUAGAUGAGCCUGCGUUAGAUUAGCUUGUUGGUGGGGUAAUGGCCUACCAAGGCGACGAUCUAUAGCUGGUCUGAGAGGACGAUCAGCCACACUGGGACUGAGACACGGCCCAGACUCCUACGGGAGGCAGCAGUGGGGAAUAUUGGACAAUGGGCGCAAGCCUGAUCCAGCAAUACCACGUGUGUGAAGAAGGCCUGAGGGUUGUAAAGCACUUUCAAUUGGGAGGAAAACAGCUGGGUUAAUAGCCCUGCUCUUGACAUUACCUUUAGAAGAAGCACCGGCUAACUCCGUGCCAGCAGCCGCGGUAAUACGGAGGGUGCGAGCGUUAAUCGGAAUUACUGGGCGUAAAGCGUACGUAGGCGGUUAUUUAAGUCAGAUGUGAAAGCCCCGGGCUCAACCUGGGAACUGCAUUUGAAACUGGAUAACUAGAGUUUGAUAGAGGAGAG